CCUACGGGAGGCAGCAGUGGGGAAUAUUGCACAAUGGGGGAAACCCUGAUGCAGCGACGCCGCGUGCGUGAAGAAGUAAUUCGGUAUGUAAAGCCCUGUCAGCAGGGAAGAAAAUGACGGUACCUGACCAAGAAGCCACGGCUAACUACGUGCCAGCAGCCGCGGUAAUACGUAGGGGGCAAGCGUUAUCCGGAUUUCCUGGGUGUAAAGGGAGCGUAGCCGGCAAGGCAAGUCUGGAGUGAAAGCCCGUGGCUCAACCACGGGACUGCUUUGGAAACUGUGUUGCUGGAGUGCAGGAGGGGUAAGCGGAAUUCCUAGUGUAGCGGUGAAAUGCGUAGAUAUUAGGAGGAACACCGGUGGCGAAGGCGGCUUACUGGACUGUAACUGACGUUGAGGCUCGAAGGCGUGGGGAGCAAACAGGAUUAGAUACCCCAGUAGUC
rnacentral:rRNA from 1 species